CUGUGCCCCAUAGAUGUGUGGGGUGGACCCAUAGAUGGGGUCUGUGCCCUAUAGAUGGGGUCUGUGCCCCAUGGAUGUGUGGGGCUGCCCUAUAGAUGGGGUCUAUGCCCCAUAGAUGGGUGGGGUGGACCCAUAGAUGGAGGCUGUGCCCCAUGGAUGUGUGGGGCUGCCCCAUAGAUGGAGGCUGUGCCCCAUAGAUGGAGGUUGUGCCCCAUAGAUGUGUGGGGCUGCCCCAUAGAUGGGGUCUAUGCCCCAUAGAUGUGUGGGGCUGCCCCAUAGAUGGGGUCUGUGCCCCAUAGAUGUGUAGGGCUGCCCUAUAGAUGGGGUCUAUGCCCCAUAGAUGUGUGGGGUGGACCCAUAGAUGGAGUCUGUGCCCCAUAGAUGGAGGCUGUGCCCCAUAGAUGGGGUCUGUGCCCUAUAGAUGGGGUCUGUGCCCCAUAGAUGUGUGGGGCUGCCCCAUAGAUGUGUAACCCCGCCCCCUUUUCCCUUGGCCCCGCCCCCAGGUGCUGGUGCUGCGCCGUGAUUGGUCCUCGGUUCUGCAGUCGCUGCUCGUCAAUCUGCCGGCGUGGGCGGAGCAAAGAGCGGCGUGACGUCAUCGGCGGCCUCAUGAAUAAUUAAUUGGGGGGGGGGGGCACCCGUUGUAAUAGGAGAUCCCAGCUAUGGGGCAAUAUGGGGUAAUGUGGGAGGCUAUGGGGCAAUAUGGGGGGCUAUGGGGUGUUAUGGGGCAAUAUGGGGUUGCUAUGGGGCAAUAUGGGGGGCUAUGGGUCUCUAUGGGUCAAUAUGGGUCUCUAUGGGGCAAUAUGGGGGGCUAUGGGGCCAUCAGUGGGUCUCUAUGGGUCAAUAUGGGUCUCUAUGGGGCAAUAUGGGGUGCUAUGGGGCCAUCA
rnacentral:lncRNA from 1 species